rnacentral:lncRNA from 1 species
GUGAUGAGGCUGACCCCCAGCGGGCAGCGGGGUGGGGAUGGCGGGCACUCACAUGGCCACUUGCAGAAUUGGGGGCGUGAGGAGGUGUCCUCCAGUGGAGCUGGUUUUUUUCCCCUCUGAGCAUCCGGAAAGGGCUGGCGUGGUGCAGCGGCAGAGACCUGGGCCUGCAAGAGGAAGAGAAUCGCCUGAGGACACAGGAGCGGGGACGGGAGCCAGGCUUUGAGUCAGUCCUCCCUCUCCUGGGCAAGCCAUGGAUCAUCCUGCCCAGCACUUCUCGUCCUUGACGGCUGAGUUCUGAGGGGAGGAAGGCAAGACCCGAAGAGACAGAUGGACACUCCCAGGAUGACACAGUUCACAGCAAGGCCAAGAUGCAAA